AGUUAUUUAGCUUAUAAAAUUUAAAGCAUAUAUUUUGAAAAUAUAAGAAAGAUUUUUUUAAUAACUU
rnacentral:tRNA from 1 species